rnacentral:lncRNA from 9 species
ACGGAGUCUUCUUAUGAAAGAAACACGUCUCCCAAGGCUUUGGCUGCCAUAGGUAGUGAUUCCCGUGGUGACCUGGGCAAAGUCGUCUGAAAAUAUCUGGGAGAGGAUCGCCCCUCUAGCUGCCGUCAGAGCAGGUGUGACUCAUGGAAGAGGUUAAAAUAUCCACUUUAGUGGGAGUUUGGAAGAAACAGAUCCAGAUCGUCCUGGAUGACUUUGAAGGGUUCAAGACGUCAGUGGAGGAAGCAGCUGCAGAUGUGGAGCAAAUAGCAAGAGAACCAGAAAUAGAAGCCUGUAAACGUGACUGAACUGCUGCCAUCUCGUGAUAAAGCCUUAGCAGAUGAGGAGCUGCCUUUUAUGAAUGAGCAAAGGAAGUGGUUUCUUGAGAUGGAAUCAGCUCUGGUGAAGAUGCUGUGAAGAUGGUUGAAAUGACAACAACGGACUUAGACUACUCCAUAAACUGAGCUAAGCAGCGUGGGGCUUGAGAGGCUGAGUCCGACUUUGAAAGAAGUUCUAAUGUGGGGAAAACGCAAUCAGCAUUGCAUGCUACAGAGAAAUCGUGCAUGACAGGAAGAGUUAAUCGAUUUGGUAGCCUUCGUCGUGGUCUUAUUUUAAGAAAUUGCCACAGCCAGCCCAGCCUUCAGCAGCCCCCACCCUGAUCCAUCAGCAGCAUCAAUGUGCAGGCAGGACCCUCCACCAGCAAAAAGACUGUGACUCACUAAAGCCUCAGAUGAUUGUUCAACCUCUUUAGCAAGAAAAUAUUUUUUAAAAUUAAGGGUGUCAGUCCCUGCUGCAGGUGCCGAGGCAGGUCAAGAUGGAAAGGCCAGCUCAGAUUCACCACCACCGAAGUGCCCGAAGCGACGAGAAAGUAUCCCCCACCUUGUAAAUUCGGCUUCACUCCACUUUGAUUUUGCAAAAGAUCUGCAUUAGUACCUGUUUUCACGAACCAAAAGAAAUCCGGGAGGACUUUCACUUUUACAGGAGAAGGGGAGAAGCAGAGCUGGCGUUCAGGGCUGGCUCUGCGGUUAGUCACUAUACCUAUACCGUCAGCGCCACCCCAGGCAGCCCGGUGGCCCGGGCAGUCUCCUUUCCCGGGGGCCAGCCUUGGUGUCAAGCCCCAGAGCUCCAAGCAGCGUCCGUGAGCAUCCGGUUCUCUCUUCAUCGGCGUGAUACGUCCAGGCAGUACGGCACGGCCUCAGACUGGGGAGUAAUUCUAACUCCCGUGACUUCGUCGUGCCUCGAAGUAGAAGUCUAGACAUCUGGAUUUGGACAUCUGGAUUCAUCCCUUGCUGUAUCCUCUAGGUUCUUUAAGGACACCGUCAAAGAUGGUGACCGACGCAGACCCUUGUAAAACGUCACAAGACUGGCAUACUUGUAGGUGAUAAGGACGGAGAAAUAAAACAUAGGAUCUCAGCCCGGCCUUACAGGUGCUGCCCAAAGUCACAACAUCUGGAGCGCAGCCUGGAGCUGAGACGCGGGGGCUCUGCCGUGAGCCUGCUCGGCCCGGCCCCGAGGCUGGGCGCUCUCAUCCGGACCUGCUUUGGUGCAGGAGAGCAGGAUGGCAGCGGCCGGGAGGUUUCGCAUCCAGACUGAGCCAGGGUGAAGGCCUCCGAGCAGCGGCAGUUUCUCCUUCCAGGGGGACCUUCAGCCCCUCCGUCCGCUUUCGGCAGGUGGUGUGUGCAUGGGGAGCACACGUCCCGAGGGCUUGGCUCCGGCUCUGCCAUUGACCGUCCCGUGACCCUGGGCUCUAACUUCUUGCUGAGCCUCCGUUUUCUCUCGGGCAAAAUGCAGGUGCUAAUCAUCCCCACUUCAUGGAUUGCUGGGAUCACAUCUCUGUUGUGGAAAACUUUAGGGUAAACUAAAGUGAGCUAGAGGCAGAACAUCGGGUCUGGGCCGUGUGUCUGCCGAUUGGCUAGUUUAACCUUGAGAAAAACCUCUGCCACUGCCUGCCCGUCUGUUUCCGGUCUCCAAGCCCAGAUCUUUCUCUUCGCAGGCCCCAGACACGCCCCUGGUACAUGGAGAUAUCUCAUACUGGCAAUAAUAUAACAUUUCUUUUAUUUGAUGAUGUUAUUGAAUAAUUUUUUAUUUUUAAUCUAAGCAAACACUUAAGUUUAAAAAAACUAGUAACUAUGAAUCUUAACAUAGAAAUGUUAGCCCCUGCCCGUCUUCCGCCCAGUGCCGAUCCACCACUUCCACUGCUUUUAACUGGUUUAUCUGGAAAUAGCUCUACAUGUCUAAACAGCAUCCUUACUCUACAAGUCUUGAUGAUUUUUAAGUUUUAAUUGUUACCUGUUGACUUCCUAGCAUGGGAAGAAAGGAUUUAACCCUCCCCUCCCGUCACGGACACAGACACACCCCUCCGCACCCCCCACCCUCCUCUUCCAUCCGUUCUGUAUGCGGAUCGUACGUUUUGGUGGGAUAUUCGGAUGUCACACUGGGUUCACAGUUAAGUCAGAUAACAUGUGUGAUGACACGCAGCUGCACGUCUUUGCGUACACAAAUUGUUUCCCUGAAGGUAAUAAUUGCAUUGCUUUCCUGUUUGCUGAGUGUUCUCCUGGUAUCACUCGUUCGGCCCAGAAUCUUUAUAAAAGUGUCGCAUGUCCUUUCACUGCACCCGCACACGUGUGCCAUCUCUCAGCCCCUGGAGCCCAUGUCUCUGGGGGUCCCACCUCCUUGGUUCCGCGCUGGGCUGGCCGCUCUCGAGACCCACCGCGUCACCGCAUCCCCGGGCUCCCGGGCCUGGGCUCCGUUCCCGUCUCCUGGGGAACGCGGCCCCCCCCUCGCUCUGCUGUGGCUUCUCUGCCUCCUGGAUCCCGUGGCUUCUUCCUGCUUGUUUUCCUCCUUCGCUUUGUAGAAGCACGUUGUCCAGUAAUGUCUCCAAAAGAGGAAGGAUGGCUUUUGUUUCUGGAGGGUGCACACCUGAAACGGUCUUUAUUCCAUGCUUCCAUGUGGUUGAUUAUUUGAUUGGACACAGAAUUACCAAUACAGCUCAGAAACAUUUUU